rnacentral:rRNA from 1 species
CCUACGGGAGGCAGCAGUAAGGGAUAUUGCGCAAUGGGCGAAAGCCUGACGCAGCAACGCCGCGUGCGGGAUGACGGCCUUCGGGUUGUAAACCGCUUUUCUGUGCGAAGAGGAAGGACGGUAGCGCAGGAAUAAGUCUCGGCUAACUACGUGCCAGCAGCCGCGGUAAAACGUAGGAGGCGAGCGUUAUCCGGAUUUACUGGGUGUAAAGCGCGUGCAGGCGGUGUCGUAAGUGGUGCGUGAAAGCGCUCUGGCUCAACCGGGCGAGGACGUGCCAAACUGCGGGACUGGAGGUAGGUAGAGGCGUGUGGAAUUCCGGGUGUAGUGGUGAAAUGCGUAGAGAUCCGGAGGAACACCAGUGGCGAAGGCGACACGCUGGACCUGACCUGACGCUAAGACGCGAAAGCAUGGGGAGCGAACGGGAUUAGAAACCCCGGUAGUCCAUGCUGUAAACGAUGCAGACUAGGUGUUGCGGUGUCAAAGUUGCAGUGCCGAAGCUAACGUGAUAAGUCUGCCACCUGGGGAGUACGG